rnacentral:SRP_RNA from 1 species
CACGGACCUCGCGCGGUGUGCAUCUCGUGAACCUCCCCAGGGCCGGAAGGCAGCAAGGAUAAGCGGGCUCUGGCAGGUGCGCGGGGUCCCCUGGC